rnacentral:rRNA from 1 species
UUACCGAGUUAGGGUUUGCCUUUUUAGGUGCCCGACCUCCCAACCCUUUGUCUAUGAUACCUAUUGUUGCUUCGGCGCGCCCGAGGGGUCGUACCCUCGCCUGGACUCGUGCCGGGAGCGUGGCCGCCGAUGGCCCAAUUUGAACUAUUGAACCCAAAACCUGUCGUCUGAAAACGUUAUGAUUUACAAUCAAAAACAAAACUUUCAACAACGGAUCUCUUGGUUCUGGCAUCGAUGAAGAACGCAGCGAAAUGCGAUAAGUAAUGCGAAUUGCAGAAUUUCCGUGAGUCAUCGAAUCUUUGAACGCACAUUGCGCCCACUGGUAUUCCGGUGGGCAUGCCUGUUCGAGCGUCAUUAUCCUCUCUCCCAACCUCUGGUCGGGGCGUUGGAUCGAGUUGUGGGUCUCGUCCGCAACUGGUCUCAAAGACAAUGACGGCGUCCGUGGGACCCUCUUCGCAACGAGUCUUUCGAGGCACGCGGGGAGUUGCAAGGUCUCGUCGGGUCGGUCGACACCUUUAUUUUUUCUAGGUUGACCUCGGAUCAGGUAGGAAUACCCGCUGAACUUAAGCAUAUCAAUAAGCGGAGGAAAAGAAACCAACAGGGAUUGCCUCAGUAACGGCGAGUGAAGCGGCAACAGCUCAAAUUUGAAAUCUGGCCCUCGGGUCCGAGUUGUAAUUUGUAGAGGAUGUUUCGGGCACCGUCGCGGUGUAAAUUUCUUGGAACAGAAUGUCAUAGAGGGUGAGAUCCCCGUCUGCCACCGCGAUAGGACCCAUGUGAAACUCCUUCGACGAGUCGAGUUGUUUGGGAAUGCAGCUCAAAAUGGGUGGUAAAUUUCAUCUAAAGCUAAAUAUUGGCCAGAGACCGAUAGCGCACAAGUAGAGUGAUCGAAAGAUGAAAAGCACUUUGAAAAGAGAGUUAAACAGUAUGUGAAAUUGUUGAAAGGGAAGCGCAGGCAAUCAGACUCGAGCGCGGAGUUCCCCCUGGCUUCUGCCAGGGUCACUUCUCCGUGACCGGGCCAACAUCAGUUUGAGGGGCCGGUUAAAGGCCCUGGGAAUGUAUCCAUCCCUUCGGGGUUGGACUUAUAGCUCAGGGUGUCAUGCGGCCUCCUCGGACUGAGGAACGCGC